UGGCACGCCUGCACAGCGUGACGGAAAGGAGAGCGGGCGGGAGACGCUUGCUACAGGCUGCAUGCUGCAAUAGUACGAGCCACGGGUGAUCGGCGUUGAAAGGCAUUUAUCGGCACACUUUUUCACGGAAAUCAUCCGAUUUGAUCAGUGGCCGAUCGAUCGGCGCAUCCCCAGUUCAAAUCCCCAAAAUAGAAGUAUUUGGUAUGUCUAUUUCGUGCAAAGACUGCCUGUACAAGAUAUAAACAGACGUUUGUGGGAAGCUGACUUUUGCUGUCGUUUGGGAUGAAUGAGGAUAUUCACAGGACUUCUUUUGGGUUUGAAAGUGCCACAUGUUGUCCGUUUUGAAUCCUUUCACAGACCGUGGACAUCCAAGCAGAUGAUCCCAUCUCUUUUAUUCCAGUCACAGAAUUACAGCACAGAAAGACCAACAUGCAAAAUGCAACAUGUUGCAUCAACGCCAGUGAUGGAAAUAUCAGUCAUGCCCGAGCAUCCACCAGCCGGAACGUCAGCUGAAGUUUCGAUCGCCUGCUGAUGAAGUCGUUUCCACAUGAAAAAGGAAAGCUCGCGCAAUAACACAUGGUGACAAAAGUACCACAUUGUCGUCAAGCCAAACAUCACAGCUGCUAAACAUCUCAUGACCAAAUCAGACAUGACUGGAUGACAUCAUUCACGAGCGUUACAUGAGCAUCCAAUGGAAAGCAUCUAUCUCCAAACACUUAGUCAUGGAAAAAAUGAUUAGACCACCUAAGUUAUGUGAGGCAUUAAAAUGAACGAAAACUGAAGAAACAAGGGUGGUCUAAUCAUUUCCAUGAAUGUAUUUUGGGGGGUUUUCUCUGCACAAAUGUGUGUGUUUUUUUUUAUUGUUGUUUUUCUGGUGCAAUAAUUCAAUUUGUGUGUUUGGAUUUCAGAUUCAAAGAAAUUGAAUAAAUUAAUUUUUUUUUAAAAGUAAAUAUAUUUUUUUUCAGAUUUAAA